CCCCCAGGGUCCUGUCACUCAGCCACCUACAGGGAUGGGGAGACAGUGAGGCUGGCUGAUAAGCCAUAAAGUCCUUGACUAAUCCUGGUUUCCUGGUUCUCACACAGUGGUAACAAGGGCUUGCAGCCGGUUGUCAGCCAACAGACUGGGAAGGGUGGUGCUUCUUACAGGCCCUGAUAACAGGAGAAGCCUAAAUGACAAGAGAAGAGACAGGGAAAGCAUAAAAGGCAGGCAGAUUUUCAC
rnacentral:lncRNA from 1 species